rnacentral:rRNA from 1 species
AGAAGAAUGGUACCCUCGUGAGGGUAUUUGACGGUACUGCGUGAAUAAGCACCGGCUAACUCCGUGC